rnacentral:rRNA from 1 species
CCUACGGGUGGCAGCAGUGAGGAAUAUUGGUCAAUGGGCGGGAGCCUGAACCAGCCAAGCCGCGUGAGGGAAGAAGGUACAGCGUAUCGUAAACCUCUUUAGUCAGGGAACAAAGGCGGGGACGAGUCCCCGGAUGAGGGUACCUGAAGAAAAAGCAUCGGCUAACUCCGUGCCAGCAGCCGCGGUAAUACGGGGGAUGCGAGCGUUAUCCGGAUUUAUGGGGUUUAAAGGGUGCGCAGGGGGCCUGUUAAGUCAGCGGCAAAACGCCGGGGCUCAACCCCGGCGGGCCGUUGAAACUGGGGAGCGGGAGUGGGAGAGAAGUACGCGGAAUGCGCGGUGUAGCGGUGAAAUGCUUAGAUAUCGCGCAGAACCCCGAUUGCGAAGGCAGCGUACCGGCGCCACACUGACGCUGAGGCACGAAAGCGAGGGUAUCGAACAGGAUUAGAUACCCCGGUAGUC